GAGGGUGUGGCCAGCCUGGGGGAGGGGCUGAUGGCUGUUUGUAGGCUGGACAAGCCCCCCAGCGGGAACCCUCACCCAAGGAGGGUGUGGCCAGCCUGGGGGAGGGGCUGAUGGCUGUUUGUAGGCUGGACAAGCCCCCCAGCGGGAACCCUCACCCAAGGAGGGUGUGGCCAGCCUGGGUGAGGGGCUGAGGGCUGUUUUCA